rnacentral:rRNA from 1 species
AUUGAACGCUGGCGGCAGGCCUAACACAUGCAAGUCGAGCGGAUGAAGGGAGCUUGCUCCUGGAUUCAGCGGCGGACGGGUGAGUAAUGCCUAGGAAUCUGCCUGGUAGUGGGGGAUAACGUCCGGAAACGGGCGCUCAUACCGCAUACGUCCUGAGGGAGAAAGUGGGGGAUCUUCGGACCUCCCGCUAUCAGAUGAGCCUAGGUCGGAUUAGCUAGUUGGUGGGGUAAAGGCCUACCAAGGCGACGAUCCGUAACUGGUCUGAGAGGAUGAUCAGUCACACUGGAACUCAGACACGGUCCAGACUCCUACGGGAGGCAGCAGUGGGGAAUAUUGGACAAUGGGCGAAAGCCUGAUCCAGCCAUGCCGCGUGUGUGAAGAAGGUCUUCGGAUUGUAAAGCACUUUAAGUUGGGAGGAAGGGCAGUAAGUUAAUACCUUGCUGUUUUGACGGUACCAACAGAAUAAGCACCGGCUAACUUCGUG